rnacentral:rRNA from 1 species
GUUGUUGCAGUUAAAAAGCUCGUAGUUGAAUUUCGGGAUCAAUAUAACGGUCAUGCCGUUGGUAUGCACUGUUAUAAUUGGUUUCUCACCUUCUGAAGAACCGUAAUGCCAUUAAUUUGGUGUCACGGGGAAUUAGGACUGUUACCUUGAAAAAAUUAGAGUGUUUAAAGCAGGCUCACCCUUGAAUACAUUAGCAUGGAAUAAUGAAAUAGGACAUCCGAU